rnacentral:rRNA from 1 species
UACGUAGGGUGCAAGCGUUUGUCCGGAAUUAUUGGGCGUAAAGAGCUCGUAGGCGGUUUGUCGCGUCGAAUGUGAAAACCCGGGGCUCAACUCCGGGCCUGCAUUCGAUACGGGCAGACUAGAGUUCGGUAGGGGAGACUGGAAUUCCUGGUGUAGCGGUGAAAUGCGCAGAUAUCAGGAGGAACACCGGUGGCGAAGGCGGGUCUCUGGGCCGAUACUGACGCUGAGGAGCGAAAGCGUGGGGGAGCGAACAGG